rnacentral:rRNA from 1 species
AUAAGAGGUCCSGCCUGCCCUGUGACUAUAGUUUAACGGCCGCGGUAUUUUAACCGUGCGAAGGUAGCGUAAUCACUUGUCUUUUAAAUGAAGACCUGUAUGAAUGGCAUCACGAGGGCUUAGCUGUCUCCCAUCUCCAGUCAAUGAAAUUGACCUCCCCGUGCAGAGGCGGGGAUAAUUACAUAAGACGAGAAGACCCUAUGGAGCUUUAGACCUAAGGUAAGUCACGUUUAACAUGCUGUGAUAACAGAAAAAACUUAGUGAUAUUUACUGAAGUGUCUUUGGUUGGGGCGACCGCGGGGUAAAACACAACCCCCAUGUGGACCGGGGAUAUAAUCCCUAAUACUCAGAGCCUCUACUCCAAGUAACAGAAAUUCUGACUUUUCUGAUCCGGUAUAACCGAUCAACGAACCGAGUUACCCUAGGGAUAACAGCGCAAUCCCCUCUCAGAGCCCAUAUCGACGAGGGGGUUUACGACCUCGAUGUUGGAUCAGGACAUCCUAAUGGUGCAGCCGCUAUUAAGGGUUCGUUUGUUCAACGAUUAAAGUCC